GGCGAACGCUGGCGGCGUGCUUAACACAUGCAAGUCGAACGGAAAGGCCCUGCUUUUGUGGGGUGCUCGAGUGGCGAACGGGUGAGUAACACGUGAGUAACCUGCCCUUGACUUUGGGAUAACUUCAGGAAACUGGGGCUAAUACCGGAUAGGAGCUCCUGCUGCAUGGUGGGGGUUGGAAAGUUUCGGCGGUUGGGGAUGGACUCGCGGCUUAUCAGCUUGUUGGUGGGGUAGUGUCUUACCAAGGCUUUGACGGGUAGCCGGCCUGAGAGGGUGACCGGCCACAUUGGGACUGAGAUACGGCCCAGACUCCUACGGGAGGCAGCAGUGGGGAAUAUUGCACAAUGGGCGGAAGCCUGAUGCAGCAACGCCGCGUGCGGGAUGACGGCCUUCGGGUUGUAAACCGCUUUCGCCUGUGACGAAGCGUGAGUGACGGUAAUGGGUAAAGAAGCACCGGCUAACUACGUG
rnacentral:rRNA from 1 species